GACGAACGCUGGCGGCGUGCCUAACACAUGCAAGUCGAGCGGGGAUUUAAGUGGAAGUUCUUCGGAAUGGAGAUUUAAAUUCUAGCGGCGGACGGGUGAGUAACGCGUGAACACUCUGUCCCGGACAGGGGGAUAACACUUGGAAACAGGUGCUAAUACCGCAUAAGACCACGGCCUCGCAUGGGGCUGAGGUAAAAGGAGCAAUCCGGUUCGGGGUGAGUUCGCGUCCGAUUAGCUAGUUGGUGAGGUAACGGCCCACCAAGGCGACGAUCGGUAGCCGGCCUGAGAGGGUGAACGGCCACAUUGGAACUGAGAGACGGUCCAAACUCCUACGGGAGGCAGCAGUGGGGAAUAUUGGGCAAUGGGCGAAAGCCUGACCCAGCAACGCCGCGUGAGGGAAGAAGGUUUUCGGAUUGUAAACCUCUGUCCUAUGGGACGAAGGAAGUGACGGUACCAUAGGAGGAAGCCCCGGCUAACUACGUG
rnacentral:rRNA from 1 species